rnacentral:rRNA from 1 species
GAUGAACGCUGGCGGCAUGCCUUACACAUGCAAGUCGAACGGGCUUUGGGGCUUGCUCCAAAGUUAGUGGCGAACGGGUGAGUAAUAUAUCGGAACGUACCCUAGAGUGGGGGAUAACUAGUCGAAAGACUGGCUAAUACCGCAUACGAUCUAAGGAUGAAAGUGGGGGACCGCAAGGCCUCAUGCUCAUGGAGCGGCCGAUAUCUGAUUAGCUAGUUGGUGGGGUAAAAGCCUACCAAGGCGACGAUCAGUAGCUGGUCUGAGAGGACGAUCAGCCACACUGGGACUGAGACACGGCCCAGACUCCUACGGGAGGCAGCAGUGGGGAAUCUUGGACAAUGGGGGAAACCCUGAUCCAGCAAUGCCGCGUGAGUGAAGAAGGCCUUCGGGUUGUAAAGCUCUUUUGUCAGGGAAGAAACGGUGGGGGCUAAUAUCCCCUGCUAAUGACGGUACCUGAAGAAUAAGCACCGGCUAACUACGUGCCAGCCGCCGCAGUAA